UCUGGGACAUAGCUUAGUGGUAGAGAGCUUGCCCAGUAUGUUGGAGAACCUGGGUUCGAUACUCAGCACAGAA
rnacentral:tRNA from 1 species